rfam:Candidatus Wildermuthbacteria bacterium RIFCSPLOWO2_12_FTLL_40_9 rifcsplowo2_12_scaffold_2092, whole genome shotgun sequence.
GGGGGCGAAAGCUUUGACGAGGAUUUCGCCAGAAAAAGGCAAAUCGAGCAACCUCAAAUCUCGUUAAUCUUUGAGGAACGAAUAAGUGCCAACUUAUUUCAAAAACCUGUCUUAGCUUUUGCUUGAGACAGCAUCCGAACGGCUGACUCUCGAUGGGUCGCGAGGGUGUCAUAUUUUUCGAGAUAGGCAAUCUUUUGGCUCAAAAGAUUGCCGAACCAUUUGAGCCAAGGACAAAAAGGUUUUGCUCGGCUUGACACUUUUUGUCCCAAAACAAACCGAGCUAAAUUUGUAGAACUAUUUCUGGAAAAAUUUUCGGACGAGGGUUCAACCCCUCCGCCUCCACCC